rnacentral:rRNA from 1 species
UACGGGGGGAGCAAGCGUUGUUCGGAUUUACUGGGCGGUAAAGGGCGCGUAGGCGGCCACCGCAAGUCAGUUGUGAAAUCUCUGGGCUUAACCCAGAACGGUCAGCUGAUACUGCGGGGCUAGAGUGCAGAAGGGGCAACUGGAACUCCCGGUGUAGUGGUGAAAUGCGUAGAGAUCGGGAAGAACACCAGUGGCGAAGGCGGCCGGCUGGGGGCGCCUGACGCUGAGCGCGAGAGCGUGGGGAGCAA